AUUGAACGCUGGCGGCAUGCCUUACACAUGCAAGUCGAACGGUAACAGGUCUUCGGAUGCUGACGAGUGGCGAACGGGUGAGUAAUACAUCGGAACGUGCCUCGUAGUGGGGGAUAACUACUCGAAAGAGUGGCUAAUACCGCAUGAGAUCUACGGAUGAAAGCAGGGGAUCGCAAGACCUUGUGCUACUAGAGGGGACGAUGGCAGAUUAGGUAGUUGGUGGGAUAAAAGCUUACCAAGCCGACGAUCUGUAGCUGGUCUGAGAGGACGAUCAGCCACACUGGGACUGAGACACGGCCCAGACUCCUACGGGAGGCAGCAGUGGGGAAUUUUGGACAAUGGGCGAAAGCCUGAUCCAGCAAUGCCGCGUGCAGGAUGAAGGCCUUCGGGUUGUAAACUGCUUUUGUACGGAACGAAAAGCCCCGGGUUAAUACCCUGGGGUCAUGACGGUACCGUAAGAAUAAGCACCGGCUAACUACGUGCCAGCCGCCGCAGUAA
rnacentral:rRNA from 1 species